AAAAAGCAAGCCCACCCCGUGAACCCUACAUCCCGCAAACCAUCCCGACCUUGCAUCCCUCCCGCGCGCCGCCGCACCGCCCUCGCUUCCCAGCGCGCCUCAGGCCGGCCUCCUUCCAGCGUGCCUCCGGCCGGCCUCUCCCUGAGCGCGCCGCCGCCCGGCCUCCUCCUCGAGCGCACCGCUGCCGGGCCUCCUCCCCACCGCACCGCCGGCCGGCUUCCUCCCAACGCCCAUAUUGUCGGACUCUCCCCCACCGCGCCGCCGCCAGGCCUUCUCCCAACCGCGCCGCUGGUCGGCCUUCUCCCCAAGCGCGCCGCCGCCCGGCCUUCUCCCCAUCGCCGGCAACUUCUUCGUUCUUCUUCGGCCGCCUCCCUCCCUCCAAUCUCCCGCAUCUCGCACUGCCACCAUGUCCCCCGGCUCCCACAACACAAUGCCAUCUCCCGGUUGGGCUCCGCCGUUGGAGCGCCCUGUCCGUUCAUAGCCACCACUCCUGGCCGUUCAACGCCGCCACCCGAAGCGAUUCACCACCUCCCUCUGCCGCCCCUCCUAUGCUUGGUGUAGCCAGCGGUGCUCUGCCCCUCUUCUGCUUCCCCUGUCCAUCUCUACAACUCCUCGCAGUAUUCUUUGGCUGGAUCAUGCUGGAGAUUCCUCACAGAUUGCCUGUGUUUGUAAAUUGUGAUUUGUUGUGGUCAGGGCACGACGAGGAUACUACUGACUUUGAUCCCACACUUCUGGGAGGUUGCACUGAUGGCCUUCAAGUGACUACAUAGCAGCGAAAAGGUAAUGCGGUGCCCGUGUUGCAGCACAAGAGUAGAAAUGUUGGUUUUAUCUAGUGUGAAGUAUAACUCUGGUGUGACUGUGCUAGGGAACAAUGAGGUUCAAGUUUUGGUAGCAAAAAAAAUAUUUGUGUCAGUUCAAUAUAAAAAGUGAAAUCAGUAAUAAUUCAGUUGUA